UACGGGGGGUGCAAGCGUUGUUCGGAAUUAUUGGGCGUAAAGCGCGUGUAGGCGGUUUGAUUAGUCUGAUGUGAAAGCCCUGGGCUCAACCCAGGAAGUGCAUUGGAUACUGUCAGACUUGAAUACGGGAGAGGGUAGUGGAAUUCCUAGUGUAGGAGUGAAAUCCGUAGAUAUUAGGAGGAACACCGGUGGCGAAGGCGGCUACCUGGACCGAUAUUGACGCUGAGACGCGAAAGCGUGGGGAGCAAACAGG
rnacentral:rRNA from 1 species